GAUUCUGGGAAAUGUAGUAGAGAAGUAGUGUUCCAGACAGGAAGUGACAUAGCAAGGAGACUCAUAUUUAAGAAGAGGAAAAAGGAAGUGUUGCUCUCUUUCCCCUCGGCUCCUGCUCCAGCGGCAAGAUGUGAUCCACCAGCUAGGAGGGACGCCAAUAAGGCGUCCGAUAAGAUAAGUCUUAUAAAAUAUAUAGAUUUAUGAUGAUUGAUACUGAGCUAACAGAUAAAAAUCCUAGUCAUUGGCCAAGCAACAUUGUAACUAAUACAAGUCUCUCUGUGUAUUCAUUUGGGCCUAACUUGGGCAGGCGGCUGCCAUAAAGCUUACACGUGGCGGUGGGGCUCAGCGGCUUUUGGCAGAAAGAUUUAUCAUAACAGUACAGUUUCUGGUAAAAGCCAGAAACUGGAAGCAGCCUAGAUGCCCCUCUACCAAAGAAUGGAUAGAGAAAAUGUGGUACAUUUACACAAUGUACUACAUAGCAGAAAAAAAAAUUGAAUCUUGAAAUUUGCAGGAAAAUGGAUGGAACUCGAAGAAACCAUUCUGAGCAAGGUAACCCAAUCACAAAAAGACAAACAUGAUAUGUACUCACUCAUAUGUGAAUUUUAGACAUAGAGUAAUGAUUACCAGCCUACAAUCCACACUGCCAGAGAAACUAGUAAACAAGGAGGACCCUAAAAGAGACAAACAUUGUCCCCUGGAGAAGGGUAAAGGGUCACCAUCCCCUGAGCAAAUUGAGAGCACGGGAAGAGUGGGGAGGAAGCUACAAGAAUGAGAAGGGGAGCAGAGAGGGGUGCAGAGGUCAUGAGGGAGCAGAAAGGUUGAGUCAGGUAAAGAAUAGAAGAAAGGAUAUGUGAUAGGUAGGGUUUUAGUUGGGGAGGUGGUAGGGGAGGAAGGGAGGGAGAAGGGAACUGGGAUUGUCAUGUAAAUCAAUCUUGUUUCUAAUUCAAAUAAAAAAGAUAAAAAAAAAUCAUAAAAAGAAAAAAUAAAGUACAUAGGAAUAUGAAAAAAAGUAGUGUACAGAAAUAGACAAUUCUCAACAGAGGAAUCUAAAAUGGCUAAAAGGCACAUAAGAAAGUGUUCAACAUCCUUAGCUAUCAGAGAAAUGCAAAUCAGAACAACUCUGAGAUACAAUCUUACCCCUGUCAGAAUGGCCAAAAUAAAAAACACCAAUGACAGUUUAUGCUGGAGAAGAUAUGGAGAAAGGGAAACAACACUUCUCUACUGCUGUUGGGAGUGCCAUCUUGUACAGCCACUUUGAAAAUCAGUAUGGCGACUCCUCAGGAAAAUGCAAAUCAGUCUACCACAAGAUCCAGGAAUCCCACUCUUAGGCAUAUACCCAAAAGAAACACAUUCAUACAACAAGGACAUCUGUUCAAUGAUGUUCAUAGCAGCAUUAUUUGUAAUACCCAGAACCUGGAAGCAACCUAGAUGCCCCUCAUCUGAAGAAUGGAUAGAGAAAAUGUGGUACAUUUACAAAAUGGAGUACUACUCAGGCAGGGGGGGCGGAACAAUGGAAUAUUGAAAUUUGCAGGAAAAUGGAUGGAACUAUAAGAAAACAUUCUGAGCAAGGUAACCCAAUCAUAAAAAGACAAACAUGGUAUGUUCUCACUCAUAUUUUAGACAUAGAGUAAAGGAUUACCAGCCUACAAUCCACACUGCCAGAGAAGCUAGUAAACAAGGAGGACCCUAAGAGAGACAUACAAGGCCCCCUGGAGAAGGGCAAAGGGACAAGAUCUCCUGAGCAAAUUGGGAGCAAGGGAAGAGGGGGGAGGGAGCUAGGAGAAUGAGAAGGGGAGAAGAGGAGGGAUGAGGAGGACAUGAGGGAGCAGAAAGGUUGAGUCAGGGGAAGAAUAGAAGAAAACAAGAAAUGAGAUACCAUAACAGAGGGAGUCAUUUUAGGUUUACAGAGAAAUCAAGCACUAGGGAUAGGUCUGGAGAUCUACCAAGAUAGCACCAACUAACAAUCUAAGCAACAGAGGAGAGGCUAUGUUAAAUGCCUUCCCCUGUUAAUGAGAUUAAUGACUGUGUUAUAUGCCAUCCUUUAGCUUUCAUCAAGCAGCUUGUAGAAGUAGAAGCAGACACCCACAGCUAAUCACUGAACUGAAUCCAGAUGCAGAGAAGGAUGAGUGAAGAGCAAAGGGGUCCAGACCAGGCUGGUGAAACCCACAGAAACUGCUGACCUGAACAAUGGGGGUCUCUUGUUCCCCACACUGAUAGCUGGGAUACCAAUAUAGGACUGAUCCAGACCCCAGGAAAAUGGGUUUCAAUGAGGAGACCUAGGAAAUCUAUGGGACCUCCUGUACUUAUCCCUAGCAUAGCUGUGGACUUUGGGAGCCCAAUCCACAUAGAGGGAUACUCCUUGAGCCAAGACACACAGGGGUGGGCCUAGGCCCUAUCCCAAAGGAUACAAUAGACUCUGAUGACCCCCUACGGAAGGCCUCACCUUCCUGGGGAGCAGAAAGGAUUUGUGAUAGCUAGGAUUUAGUUGGGGGAGGGAAGGUAGGGGGAGCUGAGGGAGUGGGAACUGGGAUUGACAUGUAAAACAAACUUGUUUAUAAUUCAAAUAAAAGAUGGAGAAAAACAAAGAUUGUCACUAAGACACAUUAUUGGGCAGACAAUGGCUAUUUAGGGAAUUAAAUGUUGCUAGAGAUAAGGUAAUUAGCCCCUGGAAAUGAAACACUCUGACCUCUCUAUAAAAGGUGAUACAAAAGGAUACAUUACCAUUAAGCCCCAAAUGGUUUCUUAAGAGUGUCUUUUGUUUGGGAGAUGUGUAAUUUACCCAAGAGAAGGAGAAGAACCAUCACUUAUCUUAAGGAUCAGCAUUAAAGCGAAGUGAAUGCAACUUAAGAUUCCUUGUUAAUGAGCCAGGAAAACCAGAAACAGAAAAACAAAUGCUCUGUCUCCCCUCGGAUAUGUAGACACUAAAAAGAACUGAGAUGCAAAAAGAAUUACAGAUGCUGGGAAGGCAGAUAAAUAAGUGUAAGGAGAAUCUUCGUUCUUGGUUUUAUUCUCACAGCUACCUUAUUACUCCAGCAUAAUCUGAAGGCUGAGAGCUCACAUCUUGAACUUCAGGCAUGAAGCAGAAAGAGUACAAACUGGAAAUGACAUGAGCAUUUUACUCUCAAAGUCAACCCCUGGUGACUUGCUUCCUCCAGCAAGAUCGCACAUCUUAUACCUACCCAAACAUUGCCAACAGAGGAACCUAUGAAUGGUAGUCAUUUAAACCACCACAGUGACUAACACAAACAAUUUCAUAGGCUGCACUGGCAAAAUGACAUAUCUACAAAGCACAUCAAAGUGUUGCAUCUAAACUUCUGGUAAGAUUAACUCAAACCUGAUGAUCCAGGGAAAAGUAAGAGAUGGAAAAAAUGAAAAGCCAAAUAAUGGAUUCUACAGUAAUCACUUAUAUACUAAUUCCUGCAUACCUGGUGAAAACUGAUGUAUCUGUUCUCCUGGAAAACACCCAGACAGGAGAACCUUCAAUCAGGUAUUCAGUACUUGUUUAAUAUUGAUGGAAGCAGAGGCAGACACCCACAGAUAUACACUGAACAGAACUCUGGAAACCAGUUGCAGAGAGGGAGGAAUGAAGAUCAAAGGGGACAGUACCAGGUUGGUGAAACCCACAGAAACAGCUGGCCUGAACAAGGGGGAGCACAUGGACCCCUGACUGCUUUCUGGGAGGCCAGCACAGGACUGAUCCAGACCCCUGAAAAUGGAUGUCAAUGAGGAGGCCUCCAAACUCUAGGGAGACCCUGGUAGUGGAUUAGUAUUUUUCCCUGGUGUAAGAAGGGACUUUGAGAGCCCAUCCCACUUGAAGGGAUGCAGUCUUGCCCUGGACACUUAGGGGAGGGCUUAGGCCCAGCCCAGAAUGAUGUGGUGGACUUUGGGGACCCCCUAUGAGGGCCCUACCCUGCCUGGGGAGUGGUAGGGGGAUGGGGUGGGGGGCAGGGGCAGGUGAGAGUUUGGG
ensembl:lncRNA